AUUCUAGAGCCCAUUGCCGGCCGGAGUAGCUCCGGGGAGAAAGUUCAAGUGGCCGUUCCCUCCUCCUCCGCCGGCAUGGCGGCUCGAGGCUUGACAAGAAAUUAGGGUUUUGGUCGCACAUGUUGGGCGAAGGCGAAGAAAGGGCAAACUGUGGCGGUGGUCAAAAUCAUCUCUAAAGCUACUGCGAGUCUCUCUCGUUUGACUUGUGGAUUUUACCAGGUUUCUGUCAGCAUGGUGCAAGGGAGAAAAAGGUUCAGGCUUCUGAGAUGGUUGGUCUUGAUAAAGUGUGCCAUGAUGAACGGGGAAAUUCAGGUUAUGUGAAGGCAGAGAGCUUUCGGACAGAAUCCCGACUCUCUUUCUUUCUGAUGCUAAGCGAAUUCUUGUACACUUUUUUCCAUCUUGAAGGUGUUGUACAUCGUGAUCUGGAACCAGAGGGCAAAACCUGGUUUCGAGGAUUUGGCAUGGCAUUCCAUAUCGUCCAUUGCGAAAGAUUUCGUGAGAAGGCUUCUAAACAAGGGUCAUAGGCAGCAGAAGCACUAGGCAAGUUGUUUGAAAACCAGACGGUGUAGCCUUAUUAUAUGAUCUUUGUUAGUCAACAACGUUGAAACAGUUAUGCAAUAUCAGCACAUCCAUCCAUGGUUACGAGACGAAAACCCGGGGUUGCUUCUGGAUUUGGCGAUGUACGAGUCUUAUAUCCAUGCCUCACCUUUCAGACGAGCAGCACUUUAAGCGUCACAUGAAGGUGAACCCGCGUUUCACAAAAGACAGGAAGCAUAUCGACCGAAUCUUGUAGAGCGAGGACAGUAGCAUUUCGACACUCUGUCGGGGGAAAUGGAUUCUGCUAAGAGAUUGGAUCAGGAACUUUGAUGGGCAGCCGGGUUUCCUCGAGCUCAAGAAGAAGAAUAAGAAGAGUCCAUUCCAAAAAUGUCGGUGUUUGGAUUUAAUUUUUCGGCAAAAAAAAAAUUGGAUUUUCGGGUCA